GAUGAACGCUAGCUACAGGCUUAACACAUGCAAGUCGAGGGGCAGCAUGAACUUAGCUUGCUAAGUUUGAUGGCGACCGGCGCACGGGUGAGUAACGCGUAUCCAACCUUCCCCUUAGUAGGGCAUAGCCCGUAGAAAUGCGGAUUAAUACCCUAUGUUUUCCAAUGAGGACAUCUGAGCUGGAACAAAGAUUCAUCGCUAAGGGAUGGGGAUGCGUCCGAUUAGGUAGUCGGCGGGGUAACGGCCCACCGAGCCAUCGAUCGGUAGGGGUUCUGAGAGGAAGGUCCCCCACAUUGGAACUGAGACACGGUCCAAACUCCUACGGGAGGCAGCAGUGAGGAAUAUUGGUCAAUGGGCGAGAGCCUGAACCAGCCAAGUAGCGUGCAGGACGACGGCCCUAUGGGUUGUAAACUGCUUUUAUGCGGGGAUAAAGUUCGCCACGUGUGGCGUUUUGUAGGUACCGCAUGAAUAAGGACCGGCUAAUUCCGUGCCAGCAGCCGCCGUAACAC
rnacentral:rRNA from 1 species